UCCCGCUUAAACGCGGGCAGUUCUGUGAGACACUUGUAACUCACCGUAGGGGUUGCGCUCGUUUUCACACUUAAGUGAACACCUCACGGCACGAGCUGACGACAACCGUGCAGCACCUGUGUACCACCCUCGAAGGCUACACUAUUUCUAAUGUAUGCAGGUACAUGUCAAAACUUGGUAAGGUUCCUCGCUUACCGUCGAAUUAAACCACAUGCUCCACCGCUUGUGCAGGUCCCCGUCAAUUCCUUUGAGUUUUAGCCUUGCGGCCGUACUCCCCAGGCGGAUGAUUUAACGCGUUAGCUAUGGUACUAAGGAGGGUCGAUACUCCCUAGCACCUAAUCAUCAUCGUUUACAGCGUGGACUAAA
rnacentral:misc_RNA from 1 species